UUUCACUGCUAUUGUCGUUGACUUUGUGGGAAAUACCACCAGUUUCUUCAAGGAGAUUUUUAAGUCUAACUCCAUUCUCUAUGUGAGUAAAAAUGAGACGGACUGCAUUUUCAUCUGUGUUAUGGCUGGUGUUCUAGACAGAGAUAUGACGUCGCUGUGGUUUUCAGAUUC